rnacentral:rRNA from 1 species
GACGAACGCUGGCGGCGUGCUUAACACAUGCAAGUCGAACGGAAAGGCCCUGCUUUUGUGGGGUGCUCGAGUGGCGAACGGGUGAGUAACACGUGAGUAACCUGCCCUUGACUUUGGGAUAACUUCAGGAAACUGGGGCUAAUACCGGAUAGGAGCUCCUGCUGCAUGGUGGGGGUUGGAAAGUUUCGGCGGUUGGGGAUGGACUCGCGGCUUAUCAGCUUGUUGGUGGGGUAGUGGCUUACCAAGGCUUUGACGGGUAGCCGGCCUGAGAGGGUGACCGGACAAGUGGGGAGUGAGAAGCGGACGAGCCCCAUAGGGGGGGAAGGAGGGGGAAAUGUGGCACAAGGGGGGGAAGCCGGGGGCAGAACCCCCGGGGGGGGGAGAGCGGCUUUGGGUUGGAAACCCGGUUCCGCGUGGGAAGAAGGGGGAGGGAGGUAAGGGGAAAAAAAAGCACGGACUAACAAGGGG